UGAUCGGUAGACCGUAACGGGUAGCGGGCCUGACUGUAGAUCAGGUGCUUCGGCCUUGGGCCCGCCAGGCCUGACAACCGUCGGACAGGGGUUCGAGUCCCUCCCGAUCAA
rnacentral:tRNA from 1 species